GUUGUUCGGAAUUACUGGGCGUAAAGCGCGCGUAGGCGGCUUUGCAAGUCGGGUGUGAAAUCCCCAGGCUUAACCUGGGAACUGCAUUCGAGACUGCAUUGCUAGAGUAUGGGAGAGGGAAGUGGAAUUUCCGGUGUAGCGGUGAAAUGCGUAGAUAUCGGAAGGAACAUCAGUGGCGAAAGCGACUUCCUGGACCAAUACUGACGCUGAUGCGCGAAAGCGUGGGGAGCAAACGGG
rnacentral:rRNA from 1 species